ensembl:lncRNA
CCGCAGACACAGCUGGCAGAGCCGUUCAAAGCCUUCCUCCUGCCGGUGGCUGCCAAUGUUCUACAUAUUCCUGUAGGAAACUCCUCUUCAUCAGUUUCUCCUUGAGACAGGUCUAUUUUUCAGAGCCAGUCAUUUUCCUGCUCCAUCCCCCUGUUGUUUUCCUCCAGGCUGGGUCCGUCCGGGAUAGCGUGUGGACGUGGGCGCCCAGCCGUGAGUGGCCGUGCUUGGGCCAGGGAUAGGGGAAGUGCUCCCCGUUGCUGAGGAAUCACAAGAAGAUCCUGCGUGCAAGGCUACUCCAACGUGUGUUAUGCAAGGCGGCCAGACAUCCAGCCUCCCUCUCACUCUCCCCAAGCUCCCUCCCCUCUCUCCCUGUAUCUCAGUACUCCAGUGACAUAGCUCCUCCCACAGCCAGCCUCAUCCGCCGCAUCAGGAUGAGAAAAAUCCCCUCUGUUUCAUCUGAGCUGAGGAAGAUGGAGAGAGAGGGAGGGAAACAGAGGCACAGAGAAAUGACCCAUAACACAUGCCAGACAGAACACAUUCUGGAGUAUUCUUCCAUUUUUAUUUUUUUGCUUGAUCAGACAAUUCUACAGGUUCCUCCAAGACAGCGUUUAUUUUCUAUAGGCCCUCCCUCAUACACCCGCAUGUUCGCACACACACUUCAUAUUAAUUACUGCUUUACUGACCUAGAAUAACCUUCUCCUUGCAGCAUCUCAGGCCUCUGCCAGACCUCCCCUAGACGUCCCCCAGGCCUCCUUUUGCUCUACCCGAGGAAUCUAUCGCCUUUAACAGGCAGGGCAGCCUGAUAACACCCAACACCACACACACACACACACACAAACAAACUGGGAGCUGGGGCCUCCCUCCCACCAGGAGUUCUUAUCCGCAGCACACAGGAUCAAGUAGAGCAGAGAGCAGCAACAACAGCAUAUACAGUAUAUACAUCCUCAGUGACUUACUGACUGUAUACAGCCUUACUGACUGACUGUAUACAUCCUCAGUGACUUACUGACUGUAUACAUCCUCAGUGACUUACUGACUGUAUACAUCCUCAGUGACUUACUGACUGUAUACAGCCUUACUGACUGACUGUAUACAUCCUCAGUGACUUACUGACUGUAUACAGCCUUACUGACUGACUGUAUACAUCCUCAGUGACUUACUGACUGUAUACAGCCUUACUGACUGACUGUAUACAUCCUCAGUGACUUACUGACUGUAUACAGCCUUACUGACUGACUACAUACAUCCUCAGUGACUUACUGACUGUAUACAGCCUUACUGACUGACUGUAUACAUCCUCAGUGACUUACUGACUGUAUACAGCCUUACUGACUGACUGUAUACAUCCUCAGUGACUUACUGACUGUAUACCGCCUUACUGACUGACUGUAUACAUCCUCAGUGACUUACUGACUGUAUACAGCCUUACUGACUGACUGUAUACAUCCUUAGUGACUUACUGACUGUAUACAGCCUU